rnacentral:rRNA from 1 species
CCCUUAGAUGUUCUGGGCCGCACGCGCGCUACACUGGUGCAUUCAACGAGUUUCUUCCUGGUCCGAGAGGAAUGGGUAACCUUUUGAAAGUGCAUCGUGAUAGGGAUAGACUAUUGCAAUUAUUGGUCUUCAACGAGGAAUUCCUAGUAGACGUAGUUCAUCAGACUGCAUCGAUUACGUCCCUGCCCUUUGUACACACCGCCCGUCGCUCCUACCGAUUGAGUGGUCCGGUGAGGCUUUGGGAUCUGAGCGGAAAGAGCGUUUCGCUGUUUCUGCUCGGAAAACUCAGUCGAACCUUAUCAUUUAGAGGAAGGAGAAGUCGUAACA